GUGCUGGGGAGUAGUCAGACGCGAGGAGAAACAGGCCGUGUCAACACUGGCUCCCGUUAAUCAUUGUCUUCUACGUGGGCUCGUUGGAAGCACGUCAGUACCCCAGCCAUUUCUCCUGCAGGUGGACACACAGAAUCACUGGCGGAGAGACACAGGAACACACACAGAAACAAGAUACUGUAUGAGCCAGAAACUCCAAGCACAGAUGACCAUGCCUUUCAAGAGCCAAUCAAAGUCCUUUAACCCUGGGAAGACAGGAUGGCCUGCAGUUCCUUUGCCACUAAUAAACAUGGGUUGGCAUCAGGAGGCCCGUGAGCACAAAUCAACAGGAGACCCGUGAGCC